GUCAAAAGACCAAUUAGUGGAAAAAAAAGACGUGUAAAUGCAGCCCAUGUUACUCUUUUCAACAGAUCUUUACCAUGUGACUUCACGUUUUUUUCUUGGAUUGCUGAACAUACCACGUCUCGUUCAGCGCUUUGACGUCCUGAGACAUACUGCUGAUGUAAUUGGGCAUCUGGACACCAGUGCAUUCUUGAACCAAGUAACUUGGUCUCACUCCUCCAAAGAUGGGGCCAGGACCACCUCCGAUUCCCUCCCUGGCAGCUUUGUGGUCGUAAAGCACAGGGCUCCCGAGUGGCGCAGUGGUCUAAGGGACUGCAUCUCAGUGCAAGAGGCGUUACUACAGUCCCUGGUUCAAUUCCAGGCUGUAUCACAUCCAUCUGUGAUCGGGUGUCCCGUAGGGCGGCGCGCAAUUGGCCCGGCAUCGUCAGGGUUUGGCCAGGAGCCGUUUGGAAGAGCCGGAAUGCCCAUCACUAAUUCCUGUUGCUUUGUGCGGAUGCAGAAUAAAAAAAGGCCCGCGAUGAAGACAUAUCAGUCCGCUAAUAGUGAAAUGGUUUUUAACUAAAUGUAUUUGGGUGUUUACCAGCAUUUGUAACUUGAAUCUGAUAAUUAUGUG
rnacentral:lncRNA from 1 species